AGCGAGGUAGGGUAGCCAGGAGUGCCCGCUGGACUGCUUUGAAGUGUAGUGCCUAGCUCAUAACCCGGAAGGAGCGUUUCUUCUCAUUCUGCAAGGAAAGCUCUUGGGUAAAGAUCGGAAGUUCAAAUCUUCCCCUCGCUA
rnacentral:tRNA from 1 species